GUUAGAUAUCCUAAAUGAGGUUUGUGAAUUAAGAAAACACUUUGAACAUUCAAGUGAUCAAAAUCCCUGAUGAUAAAGAUGGGUGUCAGAAAUUCCCCAGUUCCAGUUGUUGGUCCCACAGCACUUACAUGAUUCACUACCUGUUAAUCUAGGCUGUCUGUACAUUUACUGUAGAGGUAACUGUAUGGUGGGAUGAUAGUAAUUACAUAUUCUGUCCUCCAUAGCACUCAGAAAUGUAAGAGGUGUGCGAUGUCAAGAGCAGAGGAAAUUCAAAGUCCAUCCCAUUGUUGCCAUCUUUGUAUCUGCCUCUCCAAGUCUGGAAGUAAAACCAGCAAGCCAUAGUGCAGGGUUCCCAGUACCUCUGCCCAUCCUGGAAAUAAAAGGUAUUGGCAGACAAGUUUUCCCA
rnacentral:lncRNA from 1 species